rnacentral:snRNA from 1 species
GGAUGUGAGGGCAAUCUGACUGUGGCAUCUAUCACUUCAUUGAUCGUCAAGGUUGAUUUGGCUUAUCUGGCUGACUAGGCGGAUGUCCCCGUCCUCCCUCACCACUCCAUGUGUGUCUCCCUCAAAACUGUGCACUCGGUCAAAGAGGACAACCAUCCCCGCUGGAGGAGGACCAUUCUUUGGUCAAGGGUAUAUGAGUAGCUACUAUCCCCCACUAGAACCUCUAAACAAGCUCUCAAGGUUCAUAAUAGCCCUGUAGCCCACUGACAAAUCAUUUUUGUUUCUGU